rnacentral:rRNA from 1 species
ACGAACGCUGGCGGCGUGCUUAACACAUGCAAGUCGAACGGUGAAGGGGAAGCUUGCUUUUCUGGAUCAGUGGCGAACGGGUGAGUAACACGUGAGUAACCUGCCCUUGACUCUGGGAUAAGCGUUGGAAACGACGUCUAAUACCGGAUACGAACCUCAACCGCAUGGUUAGGGGUUGGAAAGAUUUUUUGGUCAAGGAUGGACUCGCGGCCUAUCAGCUUGUUGGUGAGGUAAUGGCUCACCAAGGCGACGACGGGUAGCCG